rnacentral:rRNA from 1 species
GACGAACGCUGGCGGCGUGCUUAACACAUGCCAGUCGAACGGAAAGGCCCUGCUUGCAGGGUACUCGAGUGGCGAACGGGUGAGUAACACGUGGGUGAUCUGCCCUGCACUUCGGGAUAAGCUUGGGAAACUGGGCCUAAUACCGGAUAGGAGCCAUCUUUAGUGUGGUGGUUGGAAAGUUUUUUCGGUGUAGGAUGAGCUCGCGGCCUAUCAGCUUGUUGGUGGGGUAAUGGCCUACCAAGGCGGCGACGGGUAGCCGGCCUGAGAGGGUGUACGGCCACAUUGGGACUGAGAUACGGCCCAGACUCCUACGGGAGGCAGCAGUGGGGAAUAUUGCACAAUGGGCGCAAGCCUGAUGCAGCGACGCCGCGUGGGGGAUGAAGGCCUUCGGGUUGUAAACUCCUUUCGCUAGGGACGAAGCUUUGUUGUGACGGUACCUAGAUAAGAAGCACCGGCUAACUACGUG